rnacentral:lncRNA from 1 species
GUUUAUCUGCAGCUCUCGAAAAGGCAGCAACAGAAGUAACUGAGAUAAACAGACUGAAAGCUGCCCACAGCCAAAGCAGCUAUGUCUCCCCGGAGACAUAGUGCCUGGCACAGAGAAGGCAUUCAGUAAAGGUCUGCUGAAUGAAUGGAUGACGAUUCUCGCGAACAGACAGGAAACUGACAGACCGGCUUCCUCUGCUCCUGCUGCUGGGAACACGCAGCUGACAGCCUCCGAGCUGACAGGACUACAGCUCCAGCCAGGGGAAUGACUGAAUCUCUCCUGGUCUUUGUUGCAAAUUCCCGGGGAGGGGCUCCUGGGCAGGGGGCUCUCUCCACCGUCCCAUCCCCUGACAGUGGUUCAAGUCAGUGAGGCAGAGGGGUUUAAGAAUUCGUGGAGACAGGAGGAGCCGCUCGGUCCUCAUCAACUUCUCCGCUGAUGGUUAGAUCAGAACGCGUCCUCCAGCUCGCUGUGCAUGGAAACCCUAAGUAUUUGCCCUGGAAAUGCUCGUGAGGAGUCCUCGACCUGCGAAAAUGCAAAAGUAUGCGACGGGUCCUGAGACUCCUCGAAGAGGUGAAGACCUGAGCGUGUGAAGAGGAAGGCUCCUGCUCCCUCAAGCACUGCGGGGUGAGAUGGACACCCCUCCUCUCGGGGAGAACUGAGGGUGCACAGUUGCUAAGAAGCGGACGACUAGACCAGACUCAGUGACGACCCUGGCUCACAUUCCAUCCUACAGAUACAUUCAUUUUUUAUACUGAGCUCUAUUUGAAGGGCCAGUCAUUCCUGUUAAUGAUUUAAAGAGCUCGUCCCGUUGACAGUAUAACCACAGCAUCAGUUGCUUCCUUCCAGGCCUGAGCACACAACGAAAAGGAUCUGAGCGGGAGAAGGUCUCCAAAGGGUUUCCCGCGACUCCGCCGCCGCCCCUGGGGAGGACGCCGGGCCCGGCCGGGACUGGCAGGGCGCCCCGGGACCGCGGGGAGCGGCGCUGCACGUGUGGGGCUCCGGCCCGCCCCCCGCAUGGCACCUUCCCACCCGCGGAAUCGAAGCUCCUCCGCCGGCGCCGGACCCCGCGGCCGGGCCGCCACACGGCGUCGCUGUCCCCGCAGGUCCCGCCGCAGCCGGCGCGCCGUCGUUCCCCGCCGGGCGGUGAGGCG